GAUGAACGCUAGCGGCAGGCUUAACACAUGCAAGUCGAGGGGUAUAGUUCUUCGGAACUAGAGACCGGCGCACGGGUGCGUAACGCGUAUGCAAUCUACCUUUUGCAGAGGGAUAGCCCAGAGAAAUUUGGAUUAAUACCUCAUGGUAUGUGAGAAUGGCAUCAUUUUCACAUUAAAGUCACAACGGCAAAAGAUGAGCAUGCGUCCCAUUAGCUUGUUGGUAAGGUAACGGCUUACCAAGGCAACGAUGGGUAGGGGUCCUGAGAGGGAGAUCCCCCACACUGGUACUGAGACACGGACCAGACUCCUACGGGAGGCAGCAGUGAGGGAUAUUGGACAAUGGGCGCAAGCCUGAUCCAGCCAUGCCGCGUGCAGGAUGACGGUCCUAUGGAUUGUAAACUGCUUUUGUACAGGAAGAAACACUGGUUCGUGAACCAGCUUGACGGUACUGUAAGAAUAAGGAUCGGCUAACUCCGUGCCAGCAGCCGCCGUAACAC
rnacentral:rRNA from 1 species